GUUUCAGUGCAACAAAAGAAAACCAUUAAAAAAAGCUGAGAUAUGAAGAAGGGAUAUUUAGAUGAGUUUGACAGAUGAGUUAGGACUAUCUUUUUUUGGCAGAGUUGUUCACGUGGAGCCUCUACCAAACUAUGCCUUUAAAAAGGACAAAGGCAGUGGCCUGCAACGUUUUUUCCUGUAAGAAGAAUAUGUUUUCUUUGGAACCAUUUGGGUGGUUGAAGGAUGGUAAGGAAUACAUGGGCAGAGCCUGCAGCUGCUGGCUGUGACUACAUCUGCAGGAAGGCAUGGCUCCAUAGAUUUUAAGUAUGCACUCAUUUAUUAUUGUUUUCUUUUUUUCAAAGAUUGAACAAAUUUUAAAGUGCUAGCAAAGCAUCUGACACAGUCAUAUAGCUUUGCAUAUCAUCUACUUUUGUGAGAGGUCCAUAUACAUUUAUAAUUUGAA